AGACUUCUCUGCAGUAUCGGGUCCCUACACAAUCUCACAUCGUUUGGAGGACGUUUACUUUUGUGACGGUGGUCAUUACAGUUUCAGGAUCAAGUUGGAGACUGGAUUCGAAUUCAGUACUGACGAGACGAACCUAAAGAUCAAACUACGCUGUAAACCACCUCGUACGCCUCCGAAUACACUUUUGAAAAAGGUUGAAAUUGCUGAAUCCGACGACUACAAAUAUGUCGUCACGUGUAUCAACGAAGACCUUGUCUUAAUGAACGAGAACGCGAAGGAAGUGAUCUGCAACACAUCUACUGGCUCA